rnacentral:rRNA from 1 species
GGCAUCGACUUCACUCCAACCCCUGUGACAUACCACUUGUUGCCUCGGCGGAUCAGCCCGCUCCCGGUAAAACGGGACGGCCCGCCAGAGGACCCCUAAACUCUGUUUCUAUAUGUAACUUCUGAGUAAAACCAUAAAUAAAUCAAAACUUUCAACAACGGAUCUCUUGGUUCUGGCAUCGAUGAAGAACGCAGCAAAAUGCGAUAAGUAAUGUGAAUUGCAGAAUUCAGUGAAUCAUCGAAUCUUUGAACGCACAUUGCGCCCGCCAGUAUUCUGGCGGGCAUGCCUGUUCGAGCGUCAUUUCAACCCUCAAGCACAGCUUGGUGUUGGGACUCGCGUUAAUUCGCGUUCCUCAAAUUGAUUGGCGGUCACGUCGAGCUUCCAUAGCGUAGUAGUAAAACCCUCGUUACUGGUAAUCGUCGCGGCCACGCCGUUAAACCCCAACUCCUGAAUGUUGACCUCGGAUCAGGUAGGAAUACCCGCUGAACUUAAGCAUAUCAAUAAGCGGAGAAA